rnacentral:rRNA from 1 species
GAUGAACGCUGGCGGCGUGCCUAAUACAUGCAAGUCGAGCGAACGGACGAGAAGCUUGCUUCUCUGAUGUUAGCGGCGGACGGGUGAGUAACACGUGGAUAACCUACCUAUAAGACUGGGAUAACUUCGGGAAACCGGAGCUAAUACCGGAUAAUAUUUUGAACCGCAUGGUUCAAAAGUGAAAGACGGUCUUGCUGUCACUUAUAGAUGGAUCCGCGCUGCAUUAGCUAGUUGGUACGGUAACGGCUUACCAAGGCAACGAUGCAUAGCCGACCUGAGAGGGUGAUCGGCCACACUGGAACUGAGACACGGUCCAGACUCCUACGGGAGGCAGCAGUAGGGAAUCUUCCGCAAUGGGCGAAAGCCUGACGGAGCAACGCCGCGUGAGUGAUGAAGGUCUUCGGAUCGUAAAACUCUGUUAUUAGGUAAGAACAUAUGUGUAAGUAACUGUGCACAUCUUGACGGUACCUAAUCAGAAAGCCACGGCUAACUACGUG